rnacentral:rRNA from 1 species
UACGUAGGUGGCGAGCGUUGUCCGGAUUUACUGGGCGUAAAGAGCGCGCAGGCGGUCGUGCAAGUCGCGUGUGAAAGCCCCCGGCUCAACUGGGGAGGGUCACGCGAUACUGUUCGACUCGAAGGCAGGAGAGGGAAGUGGAAUUCCCGGUGUAGUGGUGAAAUGCGUAGAUAUCGGGAGGAACACCAGUGGCGAAGGCGACUUCCUGGCCUGUUCUUGACGCUGAGGCGCGAAAGCUAGGGGAGCAAACGGG